rnacentral:rRNA from 1 species
CACGUAGGGUGCGAGCGUUGUCCGGAAUUAUUGGGCGGAAAGAGCUCGUAGGCGGUGUGUCGCGUCGGCCGUGAAAACCUGCAGCUUAACUGUGGGCUUGCGGUCGAUACGGGCAUCACUGGAGUUCGGCAGGGGAGACUGGAAUUCCUGGUGUAGCGGUGAAAUGCGCAGAUAUCAGGAGGAACACCGGUGGCGAAGGCGGAUCUCUGGGCCUUACCUGACGCUGAGGCGCGAAAGCCAGGGGAGCGAACGGG